rnacentral:misc_RNA from 1 species
GGAAUUCGAAGGAACAUUCUAGUAAUUUUGCCAUUAAUUAAAAAAAAUACAGCAUUUGAUUUAUAUCAUUGUAAGAAAUAAAUAGCUCGACUAAACAGAAAUUAAUUAAACAAAGGCUAUUACGAUGACAAGCUUAAGCUUUCAGACCGUCCAAAAUACCUGCUUGAAAUUGUGGCGAGAAUAUUCAUCAUUACAGCCUCAUCAUCAAGUUCAGACUUUG